UUAUCCUUUAUCCUUUACAAUUACUUAGCCUGUUGGGUGCUAUAUUUUUGUGCGUUGGACACGCCAACUGGGGUUAUCCGACUAAAUAUUUCGUAUAAAUCAUUUAAAUUUAUUAUACUAUACAUUAAUGUUCGGUGGUAUGAAUGUUAUUGACUUUUUGAACAUUUUUCUGAUCUCUGUUCUUUGAAAAAACACGAUUUCACUUUUCUAAAAUCAAUUUCGGUACACCAUAAAUCGCUAUUAGCUUUUCCAACUUGUGUUUUGCUUCCAACACAACAGUUAU